UACGUAGGGGGGCAAGCGUUGUCCGGAUUUAUUGGGCGUAAAGAGCGUGUAGGCGGCCAGACAGGUCUGCUGUGAAAACUCGAGGCUCAACCUCGAGACGCCGGUGGAAACCGUUUGGCUAGAGUCCGGAAGAGGAGAGUGGAAUUCCUGGUGUAGCGGUGAAAAUGCGCAGAUAUCAGGAGGAACACCAAUGGCGAAGGCAGCUCGCUGGGACGGUACUGACGCUGAGACGCGAAAGCGUGGGGAGCAAACAGG
rnacentral:rRNA from 1 species